GAGAAAGAAAUUGAUUUAUAUCUUUGGGAAUCUGAGCCAAAAGCAGAUUUGAGAAGAGUUAUCAUUUCUUAAGCAUCUACUGUGUUGAUAACUAAUCCAGGCUUUGUAUGUAUGUGUGUAUGAGGUCACAUGAAUAUGCGUAUCAUGCUUAAUUCUUAUUGUCAGUUUAAUUAGAUUAGGAGCCAGCUAAAAUAACAACCUGGACAGGUCUGUGAGACAUUUCUAGGAUGGAUUACCCACAGGGAGUAGGCCCUCCCCUAGAGUGGGGAGUGUUUACAUGAUAGUUCAAAUUUAAGGUUCUCUCUCUCUCUUUCUUUUUGUUUCUGUUUUUGUAUUUUAAGACAGAAUUUCUCUGUGUAGCCCUGAGUUCAAAUUGCCCUGGGAUCUACCUGCCUCUGCCGUCAGGGAGUGCUGGGAUUAAAGGUGUACACCAACCCCUCCUGGCCUGAGGGACCUCUUAGAGUCAUCCAGAAAGAAUGCUUUAACUGAGGAAUUGCUUUGAUCAUAAUGACCGGAGGGAGGGCAUGUCUAUUGGGGGGAUUGUCUUGAUUUUGUUGUUGUUUAUUUGUUUGUAGUCCCUCAAUACCCCAGCCCCCUCCCCCCUCCAUGGUUUCUCUGUGUAGCCUUGGCUGACCUAAAACUUGCUAGGUAGACCAGGCUGGCUUUGAAUUCACAGAAUCCACCUCCUUCUGCCUCCCUGGAGUGCUGGAAUGAAAGGCCACCACUACCUGGCAUUGAGUGUUGAUUGAUGUAAGAGAGCUCAGCCCCAUUGGGGAGGCACCAUUCCCUAGAUAACUGCUCUUGAACUGUAUUGUUUCCUAGAGAGGGAAAGAAAGAGGGAGAGGGAGAGGGAGAGAGUGUGUUUUAUGAAUGUGUGGGUGUAGGUGCACAUAAGAGCACAAGUGCAUGUGUGCACAGAUAAUAUUGAGGUCUUCUUCAAUCGUUUCUCCACUGUCUCACUAUGUAGCCCUGGUUGUCUUCAUACUUGCCAUGUAGAUCAGGCUAGCCUCACUCACUUGCUAUGUAGAUCAGGCUAGCCUCACUCACAGAGACAGAUCACCUGCUGCCCCUGCCUCUCCAGCGCUGGGAUGAAGGCCAUGUGCCCUGUACACGUACACAGGCACCUUGUUUCCCCCACUGGACUUGAAGCUCACAGUUGGCUAGACUGGCUGGCUAGUAAGCAACAGAGCUAGGUACCGGGAUUGCAGGUCUGUGCUGCGGCAUCCGGCUCUUUACAGAGGUGUGGGGGAGCUGAUCUCACACCUCCAUUCAUGCUUGUGCAUCAGGUCAACCCCCACAUCUAUACUUUGUAAUCACAGCAAUCCUGAGAGGGGGGCUGUUGUCAACCCCAACUUUGAGGACCCUGAGGACAUCAAGGGCUUAUAGCUGCCAUUUCUGCAAAGGUAGGAAGCACGGUUUCUCUCCAUAUUUUCAUGUUUCUGAAAUUGGGUUGAGGGCUAGGAAAAUGGCUCGGUGGGUAAAGUGCUUCCUGCAUAAGUGCAAGGACCUGAGUUCAAAUCUCCAGAACUCACAUAAAAGCCAGAUGUUCAAGGUGAGCUGUGGUAACACUAGCACUUCCAUGGGAUGAUGGGAGGCAGGGACGGCGAAACCUCAGACACUCACAGCUGGCCUAGUGCACACAGCAGAGGACAACAGAGAACAAGAGACCCCAUCCCAAGCAAGGUGGAAGACAAGGACCACCAUGCGGGGCUGUCCUCAGACUGCCAUAUGUGAACUGUCAUACACGUGCCCAUAUUCACACAUAUGUACACACUGUACACACAAACACACACACACACACACACACACACACACACACACACACACACACACACACCAGAACCUUCAGCAUGCUGGACAAUUGCUCUACCACUAAGCAACACAGCCUUAUUUUGAGACCGGGUCUCAUUAAGUUGAUCAUACUCUGUACCCCAUGUAGGUCUUGAAGACGUGAUCCUGCUGCUUCCGCUUGGACUAGCUGAGAUUACAAGUGUAUGCCAGUAGGUGUGGCUUCGUAUUUUGAGGCAGGGUUUCACCGUGUAGCCUAGGCUGGCCUGGAAUCCUCUGUGUAGACCAAGCUGAUGCUGAGCACACAAGAGUUGCCCUGCCUACCAAGUGCUGAGGAUAAGGUAUACCUAGCACAAUGGUGUGUCUCAACGCAGGGGCAUCUUAACUUUGAUGGGUAUCUAGUGUCUACCGUAACAACCUUCUUUGCAGUUCACCUUAGUCAUUCAGAACUUUUGGUUGCAAGUCGAGCAACUUCCCCUCAAAACAAGAAAAAAUUUGGCCCAGUAGUUGGACAGAAUGCUGGGCACAGAUCACUGGGUUAGAGGAAGACCUGCAGGGAUCCUAAGAGUGGGUUUCAACUCUGUUAGAUUUCUGCCCAUCUUUUAUCUCUGCUUAAUUUACCAAUAGGCUUUCUCUUCUCUAGGUCAGCCCCAAAUGUAACAAUCCCAGGAGGAAAAGAACCCUGGAGAGAUGUGCUACUGCCUCUGUAUCAAUCUUAGGGAGAAGUCCAGAUUGGCCCUCCUGGGAUCACAUGACUAUCUCUGUCCAGUCCUUGUGGCUAGAGAAAAGUGUAUCCUGAUGAUCCAACCACCAUUGACACAUCCUUCCCUAUAGCCAGAAAAUGUCACUGGAUGUGGGUAGGAGUGAGCUGGCCAUUAGCACCGUAUCACCCAAUGGUCAUUUUCAUAGGAUGCCACCCACUGUCCCCUGAGACAAGAGGAUCUUAGGAAGAAGAACAUUGGAAGUCUAUG
rnacentral:lncRNA from 1 species